rnacentral:rRNA from 1 species
AGUGAACGCUGGCGGUAGGCCUAACACAUGCAAGUCGAACGGCAGCACAGUAAGAGUUUGCUCUUACGGGUGGCGAGUAGCGGACGGGUGAGGAAUACAUCGGCAUUUACAUUUUCGCGGGGGAUAACGUCGGGAAACUUACGCUAAUACCGCAUACGAUCUACGGGUGAAAUCAGGGGAUCUUCGGACUUUGCGCGAGUGAAUGAGCCGAUGUCGGAUUAGCUAGUUGGCGGGGUAAAGGCCCACCAAGUCGACGAUCCUUAGCCGGCCUGAAAGGAGGAGCUGCCACCCUGGAUCUGUGACACGGACCAGAGUCCUGCUGGAGGCACCAGUGGGGGAUUUUGGACAAUGGUCGCAAGCUUGAUGCAGCCAUACCGGGUCGUUCAUGAAGCCCUUCGGGUUGUCAAGCCCUUUUGUUGGGAUAGAAAAGCAUCGAGUUUAUACCACGCGGUUUUGACGGUACCCGAAGUAUAAGCACCUGCUAACUUCGUG